rnacentral:rRNA from 1 species
AGUUUGAUCCUGGCUCAGGACGAACGCUGGCGGCGCGCCUCACGCAUGCAAGUCGAACGAGCGAGAGAGAGCUUGCUUUCUCGAGCGAGUGGCAAACGGGUGAGUAACGCGAGAGGAACCUGCCACAGGGAGGGGGACAACAGGUGGAAACCAUCUUGCUAAUACCGCAUAAGCCCACUGCUCGGCAUCGAACAGAGGGAAACAGGAGCAAUCCGCUUUGAGCAUGGCCUCUCGUCCGAUUAGCUAGUUGGUGAGGUAAUGGCCCACCAAGGCAACCAUCGGUAGCCGGACUGAGAGGGUGAACGGCCACAUUGGGACUGAGACACAGCCCACACUCCUAGGGGAGGCAACAACGGGGAAUAUUCCACACUGGGGGAAACCCUGAUGCACCGACGCCGCGUGGAGGAAGAAGGUCUUCGGAUUGUAAACGCCUGUUGUUGAGGAAGAUAAUGACCGUACUCAACAAGGAAGUGACGGCUAAUUACGUGCCAGCAGCCGCGGUAAAACGUAGGUCACAAGCGUUGACCGGAAUUACUGGGUGUAAAGGGAGGGCAGGCGGGAAGACAAGUUGUAAGUGAAAUAUAUGGGCUGGUCCCAUAAAAUGCUUUAAAAAAUGUUUGUCUUGAGUAGUGCAGAGGUAGGAGGAAUUCUUGGUGUAGCGGUGGAAUGAGUAGAUAUUGUGAGGAACACCUGUGGUGAAGGCGGCAUCCUGGGCACCAAUUGACGAUGAGGCUGGAAAGUGUGGGUAGCAAACAGGAUUAGAUACCGUGGUAGUCCACACCGUAAAUGAGGAUUAGUAGGUGUUGGAGGAUUGACCCAUUCAUUGCGACAGUUAUCGCAUUAUGUGAUCCACCUGGGGAGUAGGCCCGCAAGGAUGAAAUUCAAAUUAAUUGGGGGCGGCCCGCACAGUCAGUGGAGUAUGUUGUUUUAUUGGAUGCAAGAAGAAGACCAUUCAUAAGUCUUUCCUUCUUGAGACGAUGUGGGAAGCUGUGUUUUUCUUCCGGAGGCAGAGACAGGUGGUGCAUGGUUGUCGUCAGAUUGUGUCGUGAGAUUUUGGUUUAAGUCGGGGGACGAUCGUAUCCGUUCCCGUCUGCUAUCUAAGCAAGAGGAGUCUGUUCAGCGCCUCCCGCUAAACAAAAGGGAGGAAUGGUGGGGAGGUAGUCAAAUUUUCAUACUCAUCUUCUGCAGGGGGUACGAGCAAGUCCUAUCAAUGGUGUGACCUAAGAGAAGCAAGAAUCCGAGGGGUGAUCAAAACUCAGAAACAAUGUCCCUGUUCGGAGUGCAGGUUGCAAUUUGCUUGCUUGAAGUAGGAAUUGUUAGUAAUGGUGGAUCAGCAUGCCGCGGGGAAUAAGUUCCCGGCCUUUGUACUCACCGCCCUUCA